AACGAACGCUGGCGGCAGGCUUAACACAUGCAAGUCGAACGGCAGCACGGGGGCAACCCUGGUGGCGAGUGGCGAACGGGUGAGUAAUGCAUCGGAACGUGCCCUGUCGUGGGGGAUAACACAUCGAAAGAUGUGCUAAUACCGCAUACGACCUGAGGGUGAAAGCGGGGGACCGUAAGGUCUCGCGCGAUAGGAGCGGCCGAUGUCUGAUUAGCUAGUUGGUGGGGGAAAGGCCUACCAAGGCGACGAUCAGUAGCUGGUCUGAGAGGACGACCAGCCACACUGGGACUGAGACACGGCCCAGACUCCUACGGGAGGCAGCAGUGGGGAAUUUUGGACAAUGGGGGCAACCCUGAUCCAGCCAUGCCGCGUGCGGGAAGAAGGCCUUCGGGUUGUAAACCGCUUUUGGCAGGAACGAAACGGUGCGGGCGAAUACCCUAUGCUAAUGACGGUACCUGCAGAAUAAGCACCGGCUAACUACGUGCCAGCAGCCGCCGUAAGAC
rnacentral:rRNA from 1 species